rnacentral:tRNA from 1 species
GAGCCUUUUGCUUAAUUGGUAGAGCACCCAAUUGUCGUUUGGGAGAAGUACCGGUUCGAAUCCGGUAAGGCUCG